rnacentral:piRNA from 1 species
UGGCUCUCGAUGGCUUGGACCCAGGUGUC